AACCUCACCAUAGCCCCGCAACACCGAAUCUAACCUACCCGUCAAAAAUAAAUUUUGAAUUUCUUUUUUAUUAAAAUAUUUUUAUUAAUUAUAUUAUUUUUAAAUUUCUUUUUUGUCAGUCCACAAUAUCUCUCUAAUCCUUGUAUUCCUCAACGCCACCCUUUUUUCUUUUUUCUUGUUCUGUUUCUUCCAUGGCCAAAUCCAAAGCUCCAAGGAGAACUCUAGACUCGUACACAGUCAAACACAUCAACAAAACAAUUAAAGCGGGGGAUUGCGUGUUGAUGCGACCAUCGGAUCAAUCAAAGCCGCAAUACGUGGCGAGAAUCGAGCGGAUCGAGGCGGAUGCACGUGGAGGAAACGUGAAGGUGCACGUGAGGUGGUACUAUAGGCCGGAGGAGUCGAUCGGUGGGAGGAGACAGUUCCAUGGAUCUAAAGAGGUUUUCUUGUCUGAUCAUUAUGAUGUUCAGAGCGCCGAUACCAUCGAAGGAAAGUGUACGGUCCAUAGCUUCAAGAGCUAUACCAAGCUUGAUGCCGUUGGAAACGACGACUUCUUCUGUCGUUUCGAAUAUAAUUCCUCCACCGGUGCUUUCAACCCCGAUCGCGUCGCCGUUUAUUGCAAAUGUGAGAUGCCUUACAAUCCUGAUGACCUAAUGGUUCAGUGUGACGGUUGCAGUGACUGGUUUCAUCCUGCUUGUAUAGAAAUGAUAGCAGAGGAGGCUAAAGGACUUGACCACUUCUUUUGUGAAAGUUGUUCAUCUGAAGGUCAAAAGAAGUUGCAGAAUUCCCAUGCUACUUUCAGACACUCAGAGACAAAGGAUGAAUAUUCUUACCAAAAGGAGGCAGAAGAACCUUCAAAACUUGGUGUUGCUCGUAAUUCCCAAGCUAUGGUCUCACCUCCCUUUGCUUUAUUUCUUAUAAUCACCAAUCUAGUUGGCAUGUUUUUUCCGUUAUGCAUAUCUUUGUUUUCGGUGGUUUCAAUUUCUCAAAUUUAGAAGAUUUCAGAGCCAGUGGAUCACAGAUAUGGAAGUAUACUGAGUGAUGACUUGAUGGGUGGAUACAAAACGACGACGAAGGUGACAAAAAGUACAUAAACUCAUUGGUUUAGCCAAGAGACUAGAGUUGUUCUCGGUUCUAACCAUGUGUAGGCUUGGAGCAAACAUGCAGACAAAUAUAUCUGCAUCCAAAUCUGUAGCCUUGUUGGUCAUGAUGAUUGAGUUGACAGUAACUGGUUUGACAACCUAUGUCCUGUUUAUAUGGUUUGAAGGUCGGUCAGUGGAAGUCAACAAUGUGCUUGGUUGUAUGUAAUCUCAUGAAUCAUGAUGUAGGUUUCCCUUCUCUCUCUCACUCUCACUCUCACUCGGGUUGAUAGAUUAGGGUAAUGUAUAAUCAAAAACUCUUUUUUAGCCUAUAAAAAGAGCCAUAGAUUCCUAGGUUUUGGCAUGUCUCUACUACAUUAAAAACUUAGCAUAAUGAAUGGCCUUAUUAAUAAUCUUUGCCAAGUUUGGAGUGCAAUUAUAUAUAGUCAUCAAAUGCUGCUCUACUGGUUUAGUUGUCUUCCUGUAGUCAUGGUUCUUCCCCUGGUUUCCUUUGCCUUGUUUCUGGCUCCCUUUGUGAGUUUGACAUUUGCCAAUUGAGUCGAUGGAGUGGUGAUUGGAAAAGCAAGUGCUUCAUUUAGAUAUCUCUUCCUUUGGGUUGAUUAUUGAAGGAGACAUCUAACUGUUCGAGUAAAUGUGAAACGAAGAAAGAAUUAUAACUAUAAAAUGCUUGUAAGUGAAUUUACGAGCAAUAAGCCAAAUAUUCUAUCUAUCAAAGGAAAAAAUAUUCCGUUGCCGGGACUUGAACCCGGGUCUUUCGGGUGAGAGCCGAAUAUCCUAACCAACUAGACUAUAACGGAUUUACGAGAAUAUUGCUCGAAAAUAUAAAUCUA